rnacentral:rRNA from 1 species
GAUGAACGCUGGCGGCGUGCCUAAUACAUGCAAGUCGAGCGAACAGACGAGGAGCUUGCUCCUCUGACGUUAGCGGCGGACGGGUGAGUAACACGUGGAUAACCUACCUAUAAGACUGGGAUAACUUCGGGAAACCGGAGCUAAUACCGGAUAAUAUAUUGAACCGCAUGGUUCAAUAGUGAAAGACGGUUUUGCUGUCACUUAUAGAUGGAUCCGCGCCGCAUUAGCUAGUUGGUAAGGUAACGGCUUACCAAGGCAACGAUGCGUAGCCGACCUGAGAGGGUGAUAGGCCACACAAGAACUGAGAGACGAUCCAGACGCCAACGGGAGGCAGCAGUAGGGAAUCUUCCGCAAUGGGCGAAAGCCUGACGGAACAACGCCGCGUGAGUGAUGAAGAUCUUCGGAUAGUAAAACUCUGUUAUUAGGGAAGAACAAAUGUGUAAGUAACUAUGAACGUCUUGACGGUACCUAAUCAGAAAGCCACGGCUAACUACGUG